GAUGCGGCGCCGGAAGAACGGAUAACUUUGAUGACGUUAAACACGGAACACAAAUUCCCCUCAUCU
rnacentral:tRNA from 1 species